GGCUGGUCCGAAGGUAGUGAGUUGUCUCAAUUAAUUGUUCACAGUCGGUUACAGAUGGAACUCCCUGUUCCACUCUUUCCCCACUUCUCACUACUGCACUUGACUAGUCUUUA
rnacentral:Y_RNA from 1 species